AGACAGCAGGUGACUCCGUUGCGGGUCCGUCUACAAACCGGCAAAUCCGCGUUACUGUCACCUCCGUUGUACUGCUCCAAUAAGGAUUCAGACCGGGCUGGGUUUCAUUUUGCGAGUUCCGUCUACAAACCGGCAAACCCGCGUUACUGUCACCUCCGUUGUACUGCUCCAAUACAGAUCCAGACCGGGCUGGGUAUUAUUGGGCGGGAACAACAAUCGCAAAGCAGAUUCGGGCCGUAUCCGUGGAAACGAGCGCGCGUCUGGAUUUUUGAAGAGGAUCGAGGUGGCCACAGUUUGAUCUCUCUUACAUCCCCACACGACUUUCCAAGGACUGACAACCGUAUUCUGCUGCUGUGUGAACGUGGCCAAGGUGACGUGCCAUUGACUUGUAUUAGAUGAGGACCACCGUUUCAGCUAAACAUCUUUACUGUUCUACCGAAAAUACUCACAUCUUGAAUGGCAUGAGAGUUUUUCAACAGUAUAUUAAAAUUUGGGAGCUGUAAGGAGCAAACAGUCCUGUGGGCUACUGGUGCAGCGAAUUCUUGGAUUCUUACACCAACCGUUGGUUUCAUCUUGCCUUUGACCAUGGUAGUGGCUGGAAAGAGCGUGUGGAUACCAAAGAGGCAUUAAAUAAGAUGUCUCAUGGAAGUUAAAAGGCAUGUAUAGAGUGGUUUGAAGUUCCUACCCUUCCUGUUUGGUUCUUCAUGUGUGUUAUGGGCCGUUUCUCAAUGUCAAGGAAGGAUCCUCGGAAGCCAGAAUUUCGAGGAUGCUACGUCAUCGAAGUCCGUCAAAAGACUGUUCCAAUGUCGAGGAUCCUCGGAAUUUCAGCCAAGGACUGAGUCCUUCAUUCGAGAAAUAUCCCAUAUACAGGAAAGGAUGCAUAUGUGUAUCCUUUGCGCGCUGAAAUCACCCACAAUCCUAUGCGCACAGCACCGAAAGCACACCUUUCAUUGACGCAAUGAUGUGCACUUGUUAGCCUGUUCCAUUUAACGUGUUCUCUGAAUGCUUAAGAGGAGCCUCGCCUAGCCUCUGAAGGAAGUGACUUGUAAGGACUAGUCCUGCCAAGGAAGUAUUUUUGACCUUGAGAAAUGGCCAUGGAUUCACCAGCCUCCUCACUCACUCUCCCUCAAAGAUCUGCACCACAUGACUUUUAAUCACCGUCACCUGUUCCUAGUCACCUGAUCAUGCUAUAUAAGGACUUUCUUAUUCAUUCGUUCAUUCAUUCAUUCAUUUCCCGUCCAGUCCUGUUAAACGUACCUCUUCUCUGAGUUAUUAUACUGCCUUAACGCUCUUCCUUGUUAUUUGGAUUACUAUCAUUGUCAUUUUGCAUUGUCUUCAUCAUCAUCAUCGCCGUUGUCGUCGUCUAUCUCAGUGGUUCUUAAUGUUAUUCCUGGAGGCCCACUGCCCUGCAUGUUUUGUAAGUCUCUUUUAUCUGGCAGACUCAGUUCAGUUCAUUGAGAUCUCUUCUAAUGAGCUGAUGAUCUGAAUCAGGUGUGUUAAAUAAGGGAGACAUACAAAAUGUGCAGGGCAGUGGGCCUCGAGGAAUAACGUUAAGAACCACUGGUCUAUCUACUGUUGUCUUCAUUAAUGAAAGUGUUCAUCAUUUAUCUGUUACUCUCAAGUAGUGUUACCAUUCAUCAUAUGGACUUGCGUUGUAAAUAUAAACCCUGUUGGUUUUACUUCCACGUCCUCACCCUCUAGCUACCAUUACAAUGUGUUUCCCGUUCAUAAUAUGAACUUUUUUGGGUUUGUUUUUUCCUUUUCCUUUGGCCUCUUUUCUGUUCCAAACAUCACAUUUUGUGAAAUAAAUUCACAAGGUUUAUUUUUGCUUUGAGUUGUUUAUAGGAACUUUGAUAUGUGUUCAGAACUGAUGAAAAUUAAAGAAAAGAUGCACAGUGGUACUGUUUUUGCAUUGUUAUGUGUAUUUGUUUUAAUAUGAUAAAUAAAUAGAAAUGUAUUAA